AAAUUGAAGAGUUUGAUCAUGGCUCAGAUUGAACGCUGGCGGCAGGCCUAACACAUGCAAGUCGAGCGGUAGCACAGAGAGCUUGCUCUCGGGUGACGAGCGGCGGACGGGUGAGUAAUGUCUGGGAAACUGCCUGAUGGAGGGGGAUAACUACUGGAAACGGUAGCUAAUACCGCAUAACGUCGCAAGACCAAAGUGGGGGACCUUCGGGCCUCAUGCCAUCAGAUGUGCCCAGAUGGGAUUAGCUAGUAGGUGGGGUAACGGCUCACCUAGGCGACGAUCCCUAGCUGGUCUGAGAGGAUGACCAGCCACACUGGAACUGAGACACGGUCCAGACUCCUACGGGAGGCAGCAGUGGGGAAUAUUGCACAAUGGGCGCAAGCCUGAUGCAGCCAUGCCGCGUGUGUGAAGAAGGCCUUCGGGUUGUAAAGCACUUUCAGCGGGGAGGAAGGCGGUGAGGUUAAUAACCUCAUCGAUUGACGUUACCCGCAGAAGAAGCACCGGCUAACUCCGUGCCAGCAGCCGCGGUAAUACGGAGGGUGCAAGCGUUAAUCGGAAUUACUGGGCGUAAAGCGCACGCAGGCGGUCUGUCAAGUCGGAUGUGAAAUCCCCGGGCUCAACCUGGGAACUGCAUUCGAAACUGGCAGGCUAGAGUCUUGUAGAGGGGGUAGAAUUCCAGGUGUAGCGGUGAAAUGCGUAGAGAUCUGGAGGAAUACCGGUGGCGAAGGCGGCCCCCUGGACAAAGACUGACGCUCAGGUGCGAAAGCGUGGGGAGCAAACAGGAUUAGAUACCCUGGUAGUCCACGCCGUAAACGAUGUCGAUUUGGAGGUUGUGCCCUUGAGGCGUGGCUUCCGGAGCUAACGCGUUAAAUCGACCGCCUGGGGAGUACGGCCGCAAGGUUAAAACUCAAAUGAAUUGACGGGGGCCCGCACAAGCGGUGGAGCAUGUGGUUUAAUUCGAUGCAACGCGAAGAACCUUACCUGGUCUUGACAUCCACAGAACUUUCCAGAGAUGGAUUGGUGCCUUCGGGAACUGUGAGACAGGUGCUGCAUGGCUGUCGUCAGCUCGUGUUGUGAAAUGUUGGGUUAAGUCCCGCAACGAGCGCAACCCUUAUCCUUUGUUGCCAGCGGUUAGGCCGGGAACUCAAAGGAGACUGCCAGUGAUAAACUGGAGGAAGGUGGGGAUGACGUCAAGUCAUCAUGGCCCUUACGACCAGGGCUACACACGUGCUACAAUGGCAUAUACAAAGAGAAGCGACCUCGCGAGAGCAAGCGGACCUCAUAAAGUAUGUCGUAGUCCGGAUUGGAGUCUGCAACUCGACUCCAUGAAGUCGGAAUCGCUAGUAAUCGUAGAUCAGAAUGCUACGGUGAAUACGUUCCCGGGCCUUGUACACACCGCCCGUCACACCAUGGGAGUGGGUUGCAAAAGAAGUAGGUAGCUUAACCUUCGGGAGGGCGCUUACCACUUUGUGAUUCAUGACUGGGGUGAAGUCGUAACAAGGUAACCGUAGGGGAACCUGCGGUUGGAUCACCUCCUUA
rnacentral:rRNA from 1 species